rnacentral:rRNA from 1 species
GACGAACGCUGGCGGCGUGCUUAACACAUGCAAGUCGAACGGAAAGGCCCUGCUUUUGUGGGGUGCUCGAGUGGCGAACGGGUGAGUAACACGUGAGUAACCUGCCCUUGACUUUGGGAUAACUUCAGGAAACUGGGGCUAAUACCGGAUAGGAGCUCCUGCUGCAUGGUGGGGGUUGGAAAGUUUCGGCGGUUGGGGAUGGACUCGCGGCUUAUCAGCUUGUUGGUGGGGUAGUGGCUUACCAAGGCUUUGACGGGUAGCCGGCCUGAGAGGGUGACCGGCCACAUUGGGCCUGAGAUACGGCCCAGACUCCUACGGGAGGCAGCAGGGGGGAAUAUUGCACAAUGGGCGGAAGCCUGAUGCAGCAACGCCGCGGGCGGGAUGACGGCCUUCGGGUUGUAAACCGCUUUCGCCUGUGACGAAGCGUGAGUGACGGUACUGGGUAAAGAAGCACCGGCUAACUACGUG